rnacentral:lncRNA from 1 species
GUGAAAAUCACUAACUUAGCCUUCUCCACACUUGCAUUCCCCUUUUGCAAAUGUGGUGCCGCUUCUACGGUAAAUCUUCUGCAUCUACAGAUCCUGCUGUUCCUCCCCAAUUCUGCUUCUGCGAUGACAAUGCCGCUUCUACGGCUAUGCACCUGCAAGACCCAAUCACAAGUGCGGUUAUUACAGAAAACUAGUAGUUGAAGCUACUCAAACACCUCCCAACUCUUCUGACAACCUUCCGGAACCAUCCCGAGGCCCCCGAGACUUCAACUAAAGCACAUAAACAAGUCUAAUACCAUUUUCCAAACUUAUACCAAUCCUUAAAACACUUAAAACAUCAUCAAAACGAUGAAUCAACCACGGAUUCAAGCCUAAGAACUCCAAAAAUCUAAAAAUACGCUUUUGAUCAAAAAGUCUAUCAAAACCUCGAUCGAAUAACCUAAAAUUUUGCACACACGUCACAUUCAACACUAUGGCGCUACUCCAACUUAUAGAAUUCUAUUCUGAACCUCAGAUCAAAAAUCUCACUAUGAGACCGCAAACUUCAAAAAUUUGACUUUCGCCAUUUCAUGCCUAAAUUAGCUAUGGACCUCCAAAAGAUAAUUCGAUCACACCCCUAAGCCCGAAAUCGCUCAAAAGAGCUAACAGAACCAUCAAACUUCCAUUCUGAGGCUGUCUUCACGCUCUUCUGGUCAAAUUUCCAACAUCUAAGCUCUCAUUUAGCAACUAAGUAUCCCAAAACUCUUCGAAACAUAAAAUCGAACAUCCCGGCAAUUCAAAAUAGCAUAAAUAAACCUGGGGAAAGAAGUUAAUAGGGGAUCGGAGCGUAAAUUCAUAAGACGACUGGCCGGGUCAUCACAUCCUCCUACACUUAAACAUUCGUUCAUGCUCGAACUUACCUGAAGUAGUGAAAAGAUGAAGGUAACAGCUGUGCAUAUCCUGCUCGAUCUCCCGGGUCGCCUCCUCAACCGACUGACAGCGCCGCUAAACAUUCACUGAUGCAAUGUUCUUUGACCUCAGCUUUCUAACAUACCUAUCCAAUAUUGCCACUGUCUCCUCAACAUAGGAUAGAUCCUUGUCCAACUAGACUAAACUAAAAUUUAACACGUGCAAUCGCCAUGACACCUCCAGAGAAUCGAAACAUGAAAUACCGAAUGAACUCCUGCCAAGCUGGGAGGUAAGGCAAGCUCAUAAGAAACCUCCCCAACACCCAUAAAUAUCUCAAAAGGGCCAAUAAACUUUGGACUCAACUUCCCUUUCUUCCCAAAUCUCAUAAUGCCCUUUAUAGGCUAAACCCAUAGCUGAUUCUGCUCUCCAACCAUAUAGGAAAUAUCCCGGCAAUUUGAAAUAGCAUAAAUAAACCUCGGGAAAGAAGUUAAUAGGGGAUCAGAGCGUAAAUUCUUAAGACGACCGACUGGGUCGUCAUAUCCUCCUACAGUUAAACAUUCGCUCGUGCUCGAACUUACCUGAAGUAGUGAAAAGAUGAGGGUAACGGCUGUGCAUAUCCUGAUCGAUCUCUCUAGUUGCCUCUUCGACCCGCUGAUGACGCCACUAAACAUUCACUAAUGCCACGUUCUUUGACCUCAGCUUUCUUACCUGCCUAUCCAAUAUUGCCACUACUCCUCAACAUAUGAUAGAUCCUUGUCCAACUAAACUAAACUGAAAUCCAACGCAUGGGCUGAAUCACCGUGAUACCUCUGGAGCAUCAAAACAUGAAAUACCAUAUGAACUCAUGCCAAACUGGGAUAUAAGGCAAGCUCAUAAGCAACCUCCCCAACACGCCUCAAUACCUCCCUUUCUUCCCAAAUCUCAUAACACCCUUUAUAGGCGAAACCCAUAGCAGAACUUGCUCUCCAACCAUAAAAAUUAGCUCCGUUAAUUUUUGUGUAUAUUUGGAUAUAGUCGAGGCCUUAUCAUUAUUAUUCUUUUGUUCAUAUAAUUUCUGUAGAUAUUUGUGGGUCUAAGUUAUGUCUUUUAUCAUCUUAUUAAUGUCUCACUUGGCAUGUAUUAGAACUUUUUGGUUAUAUUUGUCACACUCUUUUUUUCACCUCACUAACCUCUUUAAAAUUAAAAAAAGUUUUUUAAGCUUAAUAGGAUCUUCAAAUUGAAAGUGACAAAGUUGUGUUUCUAAAAGAUUUUUCAGAGUCGUCACUUUACAUUUAAAUUUUGAUGUGCCAGAUCACCAUUUCUAAAAAAUAAUUUUUCUUCAAAAACCCAUUUUACUCUAAGACCGAUUGCACCAGAGACUUUGAGUAAGAGGACUUAUUUAACUUACGAAGAAGGUGUUAGGCAUUUUUCGAGUUUCGUGAAAAAUACGAUUGCAAACUUAAUCUAAUUGACUUUCAAGAACACUCAAAUUGAGGCAAAAACACACCAGGAAUAAUGGCAUACAAGAGGCUCGAGGUUGUCCCGCCUAAAUAAGAGAAAAUAAAAAUAAAAAUAAAAAUGAGAAUAAAAUACCACAAGUUCUACUUUCUGGCCUCCAAUUACAGAAAAUUACAUGGCAUUUUUUGAAAUAAAAUAUCGAUAAAUUCUUCGGAUAUUUUCUGAAUAAAUCUCACCUAGAAUGAAAUAAAAGAUGAGACCUAAAAUUUACCUACCUAAGUGUAGUUAACCUAAGCUUGAUGAUCAAAGAAGCAACAUAAAAUAAUGAAAUAUCUCAUUCUUUUUUACUUAACUUCCCUUCGCAUGUCCUAAGUCGGACAAUUUAUAUGAGCCAAACAACAGGGAAUAAAUUAUUCAAAACAUAUAAAUAGUGAAAGAUCAAACAAAUAACUAUUCGAAUAGGGGACAAAUAAAUAACUAGUGGAGAAACAGACAACUACAAAAGGGACACAUAACAAUGGGAAACAAAUGAAGCGAUCAAAAAAUAGCCAAAUGAACAGAGAAUCGUGUCUUCAAAACCGUCUCAUAUUUGUCAACUUAGAGACCAUUCCACAGAUUCAUUGGAACAAAGAACUGUUAUUUAUUAAGAAUGAGGAGGUCAAAUAUGUGAAUCUAAGACAAAUUGAUUAUUCCUAUUAGAAUGAAACCUCAAGUAUAGUUAAAACGAAGAAGCACCAUGAACCAAAUCGAACAGACAUCACGAGAGCAGUAAUAUAAUGUUUCUAGGAAACUAAUUAGACCUAGGUGAGUCUAAGAUUAUUAACCGCAAAUUUCAGUAACGUAAAACUAUUUCUGUGGACCGAUAUCAUGGAAUAACUUAACAUCACACACAAAAUAACAUUGCAAACAAAAGAUAGAGGGAGAAGAAAGAACCUCAACGAGCCAACUUAUGUUGAUUCUAAAAGUAAUUUCAACCAGAUUUGCAACAAAUUCUCAAGUAAAUAACUACAAUGCAGUAGCAAGAACCGAGAGGUUGUGAGUUCUGAGUCUCCCAAAGAGCAAGGUGGGAAUUUCUUGGACGGAAGGAUGCCGGAGUCUAUUUGGAAACAGACUCUCUACCCAAGGGUAGGGGUAAGGUCUGCGUACACACUACCUUUCUCAGACCCCCACUAAGUAAGAUUAUACUGGGUUGUUGUUGUUGUUGCAGUAGCAAGUACCGGAACUCGGACCGAGACCUCAAACAUGAACCAGAACAGCACCCACAGAAAACUUGAACGAACUCAACUCGCUGAGACUCCAUAUUUGAUAUCCAAAAAUCGAACAAGAAAAGGGGACUGCUGUAUUUUCGUGUUUUUUAAUUGUGAAAUUUCAAGGUCAAAAGGAAUUUGCCAAUUUUUUAUGUGAAAGAACUCAGAAAAAUAGAGAAAUGUUCGAAAAUUGAAAACCAAAAUCCUAGAACUCUCUUCUCUGCCCAAUUUUUAUCCAAAAGUAUUCUGUCUAAAUAAAUUCUCCCGAUUUUCUAUCUAUCCCUCUCUGUUUUUGUAGUUAUAUUUUGUUUAACAUAAUUGGGGUUGUUGAAAAUUGGCUUAGCAAACGAAAUGGUGAAGAAGGUGUAGUGGAGAAGGUUGAAAGGUUUGGUGGAAGCUGGUUUGGAAUUAGAGUGGCAGAAGCAUGGAGAUUUCGUGGGGUGCUGCUACUCUUGAAGAUUAAGUUUAGGAUUUGUGAAUAUUAAGGUUUUAUAUGGAUGUGGGGAAAUAAUAC